AGCUGUGUCCUGGCUCAGACGGACAGCUCUGACUCGCUCGCUCUUUCUCUGGGCGCCUGCGCGCCUACCAUGACAAGCCAUUUCAGGCGAGCCGAGCCCCAGAGCCAUGUGUCUGGUGCGCAGUGUUAACAGGGCAGUUAUACCUUUUACAGACAACUGUGGCUCCAAGUCAAGUAUGAACUUACACAAACAGUUUAUAUAACAAGUGGAGGUGUGCGCCUGCGUGCCAAACUUGCUGACUCGUGCAGGCCUGGAUACCCGCCUCAGACUAUUCCUUGACCGAAGCACUUCCAGGGCAGGAAACUGAAGCUCUUGGGAAGGUGGAAGUUGCACGUGGUCUCACAGUCAACUGUGCCAGAAUAGGAGGCCAGGAACCAUCUCUGCUGGAGGAAGACCCACCACGCAUCCCUUCAAGAAUGCCAAGGUCCAGAGCAAGUGCUUCCCUUCUAUGGGCACAGGAGGGCUGUGGGAGCCCACAGAAUGUGCUUCUGGCCAGAGUGGGAUCCCCGAGGAAGAUGUUAAGACCUCUAAUAAUAUUUAAGAGCAAAAUUAGCACAGCUCCAGCCCAUGGGCAAGUUAAGAGACAGGAGUAGUGUCUGUGGAGUGGAGGAAAGCAGAGGCUGCCGCUGACCAUCCUGCAGCCCUCGCUCUGGCUGCUCACAGCUCUCCACCUUCUCUGGACUUCGUCACUUCAGUAUGUGAAACAACCAUUUCAACCAGCUUGGACAAAAGAGAGAAGCCAAGAUGGGGCUGAGAAACCAAUGCAGGCAGGCCCAGGGACCCAGGAGUCAGGGACCAGGUGCUACCAGAUGCUUGCUCCGACUCGUGUUGCUGCUGUCUUCUCUGUGCCUCAACUCUGUCCUCUGUCACUGCAGGCAGCUUCCUCCCAAGGUGGAAGGUGAUAUAUCCCACCUCAUGAAAUCAGGCUUCACCACAAGAUUGCUUUGACCAAGGGGACGUGAGUAGAAGUUUGAAGAACCACAGACUGGUCCAUCACCUUGUUUCUUAUCCCUCUGACAUAAGCAAUGUCCCAGACUGGGGCUGUUCUGUUAGCCUGGCUUCCAGAAUGAAGAGAGCUGAUCUACAUGGCAUAUGUAAGAUAAAUAAACCUUUGUUAUUACAAACCACUGAAA